rnacentral:rRNA from 1 species
UACGGGGGGGGGCAAGCGUUGUUCGGAAUUACUGGGCGUAACGGGCGCGUAGGCGGCCUUCUAAGUCGAACGAGAAAUCCCUGGGCUCAACCCAGGAACUGCGUCCGAUACUGAAAGGCUUGAAUCCGGGAGAGGGAUGCGGAAUUCCUGGUGUAGCGGUGAAAUGCGCAGAUAUCAGGAGGAACACCAAUUGCGAAGGCAGCUCGCUGGGACGUUACUGACGCUGAGACGCGAAAGCGUGGGGAGCAAACAGG